AACGAACGCUGGCGGCAUGCCUAACACAUGCAAGUCGAACGAGACCUUCGGGUCUAGUGGCGCACGGGUGCGUAACGCGGGGAAUCUGCCCCUUGGUUCGGAAUAACUUCGGGAAACUGAAGCUAAUACCGGAUAAUGACGUAAGUCCAAAGAUUUAUCGCCAAGGGAUGAGCCCGCGUAGGAUUAGCUAGUUGGUGGGGUAAAGGCUCACCAAGGCGACGAUCCUUAGCUGGUCUGAGAGGAUGAUCAGCCACACUGGGACUGAGACACGGCCCAGACUCCUACGGGAGGCAGCAGUGGGGAAUAUUGGACAAUGGGCGAAAGCCUGAUCCAGCCAUGCCGCGUGUGGGAAGAAGGCCUUCGGGUUGUAACCACUUUGUCAGGGAAGAAACGGGACCUUUCUAAUUACAAGGGGCUAAUGACGGUACCUGAAGAAUAAGCACCGGCUAACUACGUGCCAGCAGCCGCGGUAAU
rnacentral:rRNA from 1 species